AGUUCGAUUAUGGCUCAGAUUGAACGCUGGCGGGAUGCUUUACACAUGCAAGUCGAACGGCGCUGCACGGACUUCGGUCUGGUGGCGAGUGGCGAACGGGUGAGUAAUGUAUCGAACGUGCCUAUAGCGGGGACAACUACGCGAAAGUAGCUAAUACCGCAUAACCGCCCUUCGGGGGAAAGCGGGGGACCGGGCUCGCACUACGAAGAGCGCCGGAUAUCGGAUUGCAGCCGCUGGUGGGGUAACGACUCACUAAGGCGACGAUCCGUAUUGUCGAGGACACCAGCCACAUCGGGACCGAGACACGGCCCAGACUCACGGGGAGGCAGCAGUGGGAAUUGAUUAAUGGGAAAUCCCCAGAUCCAGUCAACCUGGGCGUGUGCGAUGAAGGCCUUCGGGUUGUAAAAGCACUUUUGCAGAAAUAAAAAACGGCACGGAUAAUACCCCGUGCAACUGACGGUACCUGCAGAAUAAGCACCGGCUAACUACGUGCCAGCAGCCGCGGUAAUACGUAGGGUGUAAGCGUUAAUCGGAAUUACUGGGCGUAAAGCGUGCGCAGGCGGUUCCAUGAAAGAUGUGAAAUCCCAGAGCUUAACUUUCGAACUGCAUUUUUAACUACCGAGCUAGAGUGUAGUCAGAGGGAGGUGAAAUUGUGCGGUGAAAUGCGAUGUCGCCGAGGAACACCGAUGGCGAACGCAGCCUCCUGGGAUAACACUGACGCUCAUGCACGAAAGCGUGGGGAGCAAACAGGAUUAGAUACUCCGGUAGUCCACGCCCUAAACGAUGUCAACUAGCUGCCAGCCUUCGGGUCUUGUAGCAGUUGAUCACAGGUUAUGACCGCCUGGGGAGUACGGUCGCAAGAUUAAAACUCAAAGGAAUUGACGGGGACUCCGCACAAGCGGUGGAUGAUGUGGAUUAAUUCGAUGCAACGCAACGAAAACCUUACCUACCCUUGACAUGUCUGGAAUCCCGGAAGAGAUUUGAAGAAAAGCCUGCAAGAGAACCGAACACAGGUGCUGCAUGGCUGUCGUCCGUCAGCUCGUGUCGUGAGAUGUUGGGCAAGUCCCGCAACGAGCACACCCUUGUCAUUAGUUGCCACGAAAGGGCAAUUUAAUGAGACUGCCGGUGAUAAACCGGAUGGAAGGUGAUGACGUCAAGUCCUCAUGGCCCUUAAGGGUAGGGCUUCACACGUCACAAUAUUUGUCGGGAUAGAGGGUCGCUAACCCGCGCACAGGGGCCAAUCCCAGAAACCCGAUCGUAGUCCGGAUCGCAGUCUGCAACUCGACUGUCCCAGGUGAAGUCGGAAUCGCUAGUGACUGCGAUCAGCAUGUCGCGGUGAAUACGUCUCGGGUCUUGUACACACCGUCCCGUCAGCACCAUGGCCGGGAGGCCUUACCAGAAGUAGUUAUUAGCCUAACCGUAAGGAGGGCGAUUACCACGGUAGAUUCAUGAUCAGUGAAGUCGUAACAGCGUAA
rnacentral:rRNA from 1 species